ACAAUGAACGCUUACGGCGCGCUUACACAUGCAAGUCGAACGAGAAAGUGGUCUUCGGACCGCGAGUAAAGUGGCGAACGGGUGAGUAACACGUAAGAAUCUACCGUUCAGUGAAGGAUACCUCCGAGAAGUUGGAGUUAAUACUGCAUACGUCCCUUAGGGGAGAAAGAUGGCCUCUUUGCUGUCGCUGAAUGAUGAGCUUGCGCACUAUUAGCUAGUUGGUGGGGUAAAGGCCUACCAAGGCUUUGAUGGUUAGCCGGCCUGAGAGGGUGAUCGGCCACAUUGGGACUGAGAUACGGCCCAGACUCCUACGGGAGGCAGCAGUGGGGAAUAUUGCACAAUGGGCGCAAGCCUGAUGCAGCGACGCCGCGUGGAGGAUGAAGGUUUUCGGAUUGUAAACUCCUGUUAAGUGGGAAGAAAGCCAAUUGGUUAAUAACCAGUUGGGAUGACGGUACCACUAGAGAAAGCUCCGGCUAACUUCGUGCCAGCAGCCGCGGUAAUACGAGGGGAGCAAGCGUUAUUCGGAAUCACUGGGCGUAAAGCGUGCGUAGGCGGCACAUUAAGUCAGUUGUUAAAUCCCCAGGCUCAACCUGGGAACUGCGAUUUGAUACUGAUGAGCUAGAGGGCAGAAGAGAGAACUGGGAAUUCUUGGGAGUAGCGGUAAAAUGCGUAGAUCUCAAGAGGAACACCGAUUGCGAAGGCAGCUUCUUGGUCUGUCCCUGACGCUGAGGUACGAAAGCGUGGGGAGCAAACAGGAUUAGAUACCCUGGUAGUCCACGCCGUAAACGAUGAUCACUAGAUGUGGGUUUUGCUUGCAAGAUCCGUGUCGUAGCUAACGCGUUAAGUGAUCCGCCUGGGGAGUACGGCCGCAAGGCUAAAACUCAAAGGAAUUGACGGGGGUCCGCACAAGCGGUGGAACAUGUGGUUUAAUUCGACACUACGCGAGAAACCUUACCUAGGCUUGACAUACACGGAACUUUCCAGAGAUGGAUUGGUGCCUUCGGGAACCGUGAUACAGGUGCUGCAUGGCUGUCGUCAGCUCGUGUCGUGAGAUGUUGGGUUAAGUCCCGUAACGAGCGCAACCCUUAUCCUUAUUUGCCAGCACAUCAUGGUGGGAACUAUAAGGAGACUGCCGGUGAUAAACCGGAGGAAGGCGGGGACGACGUCAAGUCAUCAUGGCCCUUACGACCAGGGCUACACACGUGCUACAAUGGGAAGGACAAAGGGUUGCUAGGCCGCGAGGUGGUGCUAAUCUCAUAAACCUUUUCGUAGUCCGGAUCGGAGUCUGCAACUCGACUCCGUGAAGUCGGAAUCGCUAGUAAUCGUGGAUCAGAACGCCACGGUGAAUACGUUCCCGGGUCUUGUACACACCGCCCGUNCAGGCGAUUCGCGCCGUACAUUGCGGAAAUAACCGGGANGNNNNNNNUUUUUUUUUUUUUCUUU
rnacentral:rRNA from 1 species